ACUGCUUUCAGGCAGGAGAACAAAGGGCUUGAGGGCAGACAAGACUCUGUAUCUAAGAGCGAGCAAUGCACAGCAUCUUAUGCAAUCUGCACAUCCUCAUAUCUGGAAUACCUGAGACUUUGCUUACUUUGCUAAAUGCCUGAAAAAAUGACAACAAAGUAUUUCAUUCCUUUUGACCUGGGCUAACAAUUAUUAUACCCUAAUGCUUUGGGGAAAAACCAACACACAAGGCAAGAGACUCUGAAAGGAUCUAUGGCUGAGGUUAGACACUGUGUAAUAAUUGUAAAGGACAUAAAAGAACUCAGAAUUGUAUUAAAUAAUAUACCUCUUAAACUACUUUAGUAACUCCAAAGGGUUUAUAACUACUGCAAUUCAUGAUUGGACUUAACUAUGUAUUAUCAGUGAUGAAGUGACUAAGUGAUGUGUAAGGGAAAAAAAAGCUAGAUUGCAGCUUGAACACCAUGAGCGGCCAAUAAGUAUUUGAUUGAUUAAUCAAUAUCCUGCUCUGAUACCACCACACAGCAAUAUGCAGGAGGGAAAGGUGGUCUCUUUUCUUUGGCACACUGGAACUAGUUCUCAGCAGACAAAUUAAUAUGUGCAGAAAUGUGGACCAAUCAUUUGCUCUUGGCGAAAACUAAAGGCCCCAUUGCCUCUAGGGCUAUUCAACUGGAAUCCGUCACUUGCACAGGCCUGGAGUUGAGGCUCACAAGGUGGCCGCCUCCAAGACUUUGCUCAGACUCUUCUCUACAACUGGAAUACCUUCUUCAUCUUGACCUUUUAAAAAUCCUACCUUCAAGGAUGGGGUGCCUUCAAGGAUGCCACCUCUUCCCAGAAAGUCACAGAACAAACUCAGUCAGCUUCAUGUUCACAAUUAGACGGGCGAGAUGUACGACCCUCCCCCCCACCACCUGCCAUCUGCCUCUCACAAGUCAUUAAGCACUAGUAGCUGGUACAGCACAUGUGGUUCCACUAAGCAAUAAUUUCCUGAUUAAUCUAGUGCCAGAUGAAGGUGUACUCAGAAGCACAAUAGCUCUAUCUACCAAACACAACUGUAAAGGCACCUGGCUUCUCUCCAUCCCCGAAAACAACACAAGCUUGUGAAAUACAGCCAUCAGACCCCUGAGCAUCAAUCACAUGAAUGUUCCUGUCCAAUUACGGCAAAAAUAAAUUCCAUGCGACUUAC